CAGUAAUGUUGCGAUGAUCUGCUCUAGUUGUGUAAGAUAACCGCGGAAACCUGUGGCUAAGAGACUAGAAUGAGACGCAACCCUAUCAGUUUGUUGGUAGUGUAACGGACUACCAAGACUAUGACGGGUGACGGGAAAUCAGUGUUUGAUUCCGGAGAGGGAGCCUGAGAGAUGGCUCCCACGUCCAAGGAUGGCAGCAGGCGCGAAAAUUGUCCACUCUUUGUUGAGGAGACAGUUAUGAGGCGUGAUUGUAAGAGCGAAGAGUAAACAUCUUUGUGUAAUGCAACUAGAGGGCAAGUUUUGGUGCCAGCAGCCGCGGUAACUCCAACUCUAGAAGUGCCUAUUGUGGAUGCUGCAGUUAAAAAGUCCGUAGUCGUUGAUGCAAUUAAAAGGUGUAGAUCAAGUGCACCAAGUUUGUUAGUUGUGGCGGAGCGGACAGGGAGCAUGGUAUAGGUUGGCGAAGAAUGAAAUCUCAAGACCCAACCUGGACCAACUGAGGCGAAAGCGGUGCUCUUGUACGCGUCUGUGGAUCAAGGACGAAGGCUAGAGGAUCGAAAGUGAUUAGACACCGCUGUAGUUCUAGCAGUAAACUAUGCCGACAUUCUCUGUUGUUGAGACGGGGAGGGGAGAAAUCUUAGUUUUCGGGCUCUGGGGAUAGUACGCUUGCAAGAGUGAAACUUAAAGCGAAAUUGACGGAAGAUCACCACAAGGAGUGGAUUGUACUGCUUAAUUUGACUCAACACGGGAAAACUUACCAGGGCCAAGUCUCUCGUAGAUUGGCGACAUGAGAGGGGCAAGAGUGGUGCAUGGCCGUUGGAAAUUGAUGGGAUGACCUUUAGCUUAAGUGCUGUAACCAGUGAGAUCUUCUAGACAGGUGUCUUACUGACACAGGAAGGAGAAGGCUAUAACAGGUCCGUGAUGCCCUCAGAUGCCCUGGGCCGCAAGUGCAAUACAAUAUCCGUUUGAGCGACAUAAAUAUGCUUACGGAUGAGUAGGAUUAGCUCUUGUAAAUGAGCUAUGAAUGAGGAAUUCCUAGUAACUGUGUCUCAUCAAGGCACAGUGAAUGCGUCCCUGUUCUUUGUACACACCGCCCGUCACUAUUGCGGAUGGCAAUCAAGAUGAAGAGCCUAGGUUCUGAAUAUUGAUCGUUAGACAUAAUACAAG
rnacentral:rRNA from 1 species